rnacentral:rRNA from 1 species
CACGUAGGGGGCAAGCGUUGUCCGGAUUCAUUGGGCGUAAAGAGCUCGUAGGCGGCUCAGUAAGUCGGGUGUGAAACCCUCAGGCUCAACCUGGGGACGCCACUCGAUACUGCUGUGGCUAGAGUCCAGUAGGGGAGUGUGGAGUUCCCGGUGUAGCGGUGAAAUGCGCAGAUAUCGGGAGGAACACCAGCGGCGAAGGCGGCACUCUGGGCUGGUACUGACGCUGAGGAGCGAAGGCGUGGGUAGCAAACAGG